AUAAAACUAGGAAAGAUAUCCAACAAACUACCAAAAGCAAAGAUGUGGAACUGACUCUCCUUCACACCCCUCUGAAGGAAUCACCUUUCCCUCCUCUUGAUCUUGACCUUGCAACCUGCAGAACUAUGAACAUAAAAUAUUAGUUAUCUGAAGCAUCAGUUUGUGGUGUUUUGUUACAGUAACCCAAGCAAUUGUGUCCUUAGCCUACAUACUAGGGACUGUAGAGAGCAAUGAUAUUACUACCCCCAUUUGGUUCUUAAGAGCAGAAUUGACAACUGUCUAGAAGUUAAUCAUUUCUCAGCUAUUCAUUUUAUAGCCUUCUGGUUCCUAACAUUGUAAUUGCCAUCUGUUGGAGUGAGGAAAGGUCUGAUGGAAAUGUGUUCUUUACGUGAGUGAUGUGCCUCGCACUGAUGGAUGGAUGAUGGAUAUAUCUGCAAGAAUGAGGCCCUGUUGUAGGAAAAUGGGCGCUGAGCUGUAUAUAAUCUCAACAUAUUGGUACCAAGGGCCCAAUACAUAAAGACUCUGCUUUGACAUUAAUCUGAUGCCUGUGUUAAAAAGACACUAAUGACAAAUGUUCAAAAAUAAUCACGGGCAAGUUUUCUGUUCAUAUAACACAGGUGCUCAUAUGUUUUGCUUCUGUAUAGAAAACAGUCAGAACUAGGUAUGAAAUGUCAGAACAUGGGUAAGACUGGGAAAGUGAUAUGACAGCAGAGAGAUACUCUAUUCUAGAGGUUCAUGGGAGAAGAGGAGAAAGAAAGAGCCGUGAGAUCUAAUAGUGCUGUAUCCUGUCCCUACCUGCUACCUCCUAACUACAUAGUCUUCUGGAAUAGAUUCUAUCUGAUUGCCUCUCUGAUGUGGGAUAACAAUGCCUUUGUCAUAUACUUGAAUUGAGGAUUAAGAGAUAAUGUUGGAGGCCGGAGAGACAGCAGAGAGGUAAAGAGCAGUUGGCGAUCUUGCAAGGGAACCAGAUAUCAGUUCCCAGUUCACAUGUCAGUCAGCUCACAACAGCCUGUAUCCUUAGCUCCAGGUCUUAGAGCCAGAGUCCUCUUCCUUUGUCGGCAUCUUAAACCUCCCCCACCCCUCCCCCACCCCUCCUCCACACACACACACCAUGCACACACAUUAUUUAAAGAUAAUAUUGUUGAAGUUAAUGUCACAAUGCCUGGUAGCCUCAACAAAACUGUUCAGUCGAUGGUAGCUGCAAAUUUCCUAUUAGACCUUGUUAUUGCUGGAGGUAACCAUUUUUUUCCCUCCAACACUGGGGAAUCUGAAUGAAAAAUCUGCUUAGUAGAACCCAAAUUAGUGAACAUAAAAAAAUGCCAAGAAAAAAAAAUGUUGAUUUAGCUACUGAAAUUUCUCCUCCACCAUGCACUGUGAACUGAAGCCCUGGACAGGCCGGCAUGUCUUGCUCAGGGGUUUGGAUGAGUCCUGGAUAGUUAACCCAAAUACAACUUCAGUCUAAAAUGCUUACUGUUCUGAAAGACAAAUUAAAAAUAAGGCAGGCUCUGCCCAUGGAAAAGUGGCUAGAAGGUGAAGUUUUAUAAAGGCAAAAGUUCACAGCAGGCUCCCCUUAAUUUCAAGGCAUGCUUUCUUUGAGGCUCUGGGAUAUCGGCCAUGCUUUUUUGAACUUGAUUCCAAUCAGAACAGUCUUUGUGUGCAUUCUCUGAAAGAGGCAUUCUGGAACUAUAGACACAAGGCAAGCAAGAGGCUCUAGUGUCAUGCUGGGCAUUCCUUCUUGGAGGGAAAAUAACCAUAUUCCAAUGUGACUCUGAGCUGACAGCAUGGAAAGUGGGCAAGGUAGGUCGUUAUAUAAAAGAACCCUUUAUAGAAAAGGAACUACGCAGACACACACCUCUUUCAGGGUUGCAGCAACUCAAAGGCCAUGCCAUGAGGUACCUGUUACAAGUACCCUCUUGAUACCAGGCAGCUUCAAACUUCAGUACAUUUAGCCUGGAAUCCUCGGGUCCAACAUUACCAUGUGUUUCCCUAGAGGUUAAUUUGUUCCAGUUUGAAUGUAGUGAAUUACGCCAGGUAAUAUCUCUCCAUCCCCUCCUGCCACACCUUUCUCCUUCCAUGUUCCCUGUUGAAAUUGCUCAUUAAUCAGCCUUGAACUUGCCAAUGGGAAAUCUCAUCCACGAGGCUCUAAACUUGACAGGAUUAGAAAAAAUUAGACCUAGACGUGGGGGUAAUAGGCUCAGGUUAGUGCGACAAGCCCGGAAUAUACAAUGCAGUGGGCAGGAACGUCCUUGAUUGGCAGCGCUGAGGCGCAGCUGUGGAUGUGAAGCAACCAUUUGUCUUGCAGAAACAAAGUGAACCUGUGUAGCUUCAGCAAAAUAAAAACACAAUAAGUAUGGCUUUUACAUUUGGAAUGCUAAGCCCAGAGAUUUAGGCCAUCUGAGAACUGCAUAGGGCCUCUUCUUUCCUGAUUUAGGGAAUCCAUCCGAGUUUGUGGUGUAAGGUAUUUGUAGAUCAGUUCAUCCAGGGGCUAAAGUUGCCUCGGAAAUAGAUUACUCAUCCAUUCAUUGAGUGACAGGGGCCUUCUUUACCACUGGAAGUAACUACUUAAUGGGCAGUAAGGGCUCUGUUUAGCCUCUCCAUUCCUGACCUAGAAUAGACUACUUGCUCUGAACCACAUAACCAUGAGUUUCUUUCUUCUCCUAAAGAGGUACUUUAUACUCUGCCCUUAGCUCUGAAUGUAUGAACUGUGACUCAGCCCCACCACCUAGCACACCUCAAAGAGAGACAUUUCAAACUCGCGGGAAACCAGUCCAUAGUCAUUUCUUUCGUUUAAUGGCAAGCAGUAGUUGGGUUGAAAUUGGCCAAGAGUUUCAAAGCACAGGAGAGGGAAAGGGGGUGGUUCACUGAUAAGCGAUGCUGGAAGCCUUUGUACCCACAGAUUUCAGUAUAGAAUUGCCAGUCUAUAUUUAUCCUGAGUGGUAAAGUUCCACCUGAUGUGAGAGUUUUGGACAGAAGACAUUCUUCAAUUCCUACCAAACUUGAAGUUGGAUCUCCUUCAUAUUAAAGAGGAAUGAGGUUAGGGGAGUAGUGGCCUCCUAAAGCCAGCAGCAGCCAAGGGAAAAACAAGGUCAGGUCCCUGGGGCUUGGAGACAACAGUGCCAACUCCUCUCCUGUACCAGAGCCGCACCUGCCACCCUCCAAAUGCUCAGACAUGGAUUGAUCAUUCUGAAAUCAGUUCACUGGAAACGCAAAAACAGUACUGACUCUUGCAUUUUUUGUCACCAGCACAGUCCAUUGCCACCUCUCUCUAGACCAGUGGUUCUCAUCCUGCGGGGUCACAGUCCCCCUGGUGUGGGAGGAUCCUUUCACUGGGGUCUCC
rnacentral:lncRNA from 1 species